CACGCCGUAAACGAUGGAUACUAGGUGUAGGAGGUAUCGACCCCUUCUGUGCCGGAGUUAACACAAUAAGUAUCCCACCUGGGGAGUACGGCCGCAAGGUUGAAACUCAAAGGAAUUGACGGGGGCCCGCACAAGCAGUGGAGUAUGUGGUUUAAUUCGAAGCAACGCGAAGAACCUUACCAGGGCUUGACAUACCUCUGACGUAGUUAGAGAUAACUAUUCCCUUCGGGGCAGAGGAUACAGGUGG
rnacentral:rRNA from 1 species